rnacentral:rRNA from 1 species
CAAUAUCGACUCUGUCGACUAAAAUUCUAGGUAGAGUAAUGAUAAUGACAUUUUUUACCUAUGUGUCUUGACCAAGUCACGUGCCAGCAGUCGCGGUAACACGUGGAAGACUAGUGUUAUUCAUCUUUAAUAGGUUUAAAGGGUACCCAGACGGUAUAUUUAGCCCGAAAAAGGUACUAAAUAAACUAGAGUUUAAUGUGAGGGGGUCCAAUAGUACUAACGGUGUAGAGAUGAAAUUCUGUCAUACCGAUAGGAGACUGGUAGCGGCGAAAGCAACCUUUUAUGCAAAAACUGACGUUGAAGGACGAAGGCUAGUGUAACCAAAAGGAUUAGGUACCCCAGCAGUGCUAGCAGAAAACGCUGAAUGCCAUAGAUUAGAUUAUAUUUCUUCUAUAAAUGAAAGUGUAAGCAUUCCACCUCAAGAGUAAUUUGGCAACAUUGGAAUUGAAAUCACUAGAACCGUUUCUGAAACCAGUAGUGAAGUAUGUUGUAUAACUAGACAGUCCUCAAAAAACCUUACCACAAUUUGAAUAUUUUUAUUUUUAUAAUUAUACAAGCGCUGCACGGUUGUCUUCAGUUAAUGUCGUGAGAUUCUGGUUAAUUCCAUUAAAUUAACGUAAACCCUUACUUUAUUUUUAUAUAAAGUAGUUCGCCACUAUAUUGGAUAUGAUAAGAGGGACUAAGGCAAGUCAUCAUGGCCUGAA